GAUGAACGCUGGCGGCGUGCCUAAUACAUGCAAGUCGAGCGAACGGACGAGAAGCUUGCUUCUCUGAUGUUAGCGGCGGACGGGUGAGUAACACGUGGAUAACCUACCUAUAAGACUGGGAUAACUUCGGGAAACCGGAGCUAAUACCGGAUAAUAUUUUGAACCGCAUGGUUCAAAAGUGAAAGACGGUCUUGCUGUCACUUAUAGAUGGAUCCGCGCUGCAUUAGCUAGUUGGUAAGGUAACGGCUUACCAAGGCAACGAUGCAUAGCCGACCUGAGAGGGUGAUCGGCCAAACUGGAACUGAGACACGGGCCAGACUCCUACGGGAGGCAGCAGUAGGGAAUCUUCCGCAAUGGGCGAAAGCCUGACGGAGCAACGCCGCGUGAGUGAUGAAGGUCUUCGGAUCGUAAAACUCUGUUAUUAGGGAAGAACAUAUGUGUAAGUAACUGUGCACAUCUUGACGGUACCUAAUCAGAAAGCCACGGCUAACUACGUG
rnacentral:rRNA from 1 species